rnacentral:sRNA from 1 species
UCGGCUCUGCCGCCGCCACACCCCUGGGUCUCCCCGGCCUCCCGACCCCGCAACCCCUCCGGAGCACAGGCCCUGUCCCCCGCGCUGGCUAACCCACGCUCCUGCGCCCCGCCCGCGCCGCCGCAGGCCUGGAGAGCAAAACUGAGCUAAGCAGGAGGAAGGGCUUGGCAGAGGAGUUUAAGGUCAAUGAUGCCAUGGACAUUUCCUCUCCUGUUCACUGCCCCAGACUCAGACAUGGAAGAAUUAUCUGACAGAGAGUAGACCUCUAAUUACUUAUGGACUCAAUGAUGAGACAAGACCAGGAGCAUGAUUCACUGUGAACCUCUGGACAGAUGGGAAGAACAACAGUCAACAAUACUGAACUGAGCUGAGUAGCAUCAAGACCCAUCCUAGAGAGAGCUGACCUGCUCUUCAAACCUGCUUCCAUGUAUCUUCAUGGGGAAGGACAGAUGCCCUUCCCAUCACACACCCAUGUCACAGAGGGAUGCUCUGAGUGCUAAUUAAAUGGUAACCUGGAGACAGCAUUUUGAUUUUUGAGAAGAGAGCUCAUUAUUAAUAUGAGGCUAUUUGCUAUGUAAAAACAGUGAGGCAGGGCAAGCAGAAAGUGGAGAAGCCUGUGAAAGGGGAUGCUGUUCUCAGCAGUCCAUUGACUGUUUACAAGAUAAUUGAUUUAAAAGCGAUAGAAGGGAGGGGAAACAUGGGGCUUUAGAUCUCUAAGAAAUAGCUUCUCUGCAAUCAUCUUGCUAUUAUUUCUAGCACAAUAAACUCAUUGUUGAAUGAUUCUCCACUCCUGAAGUCCCUUUGGCCACUUUGAGGCCAUUUUCCUGCUAAUUUUCCACAACAGCCUCAGACAAAAGAGAAAUUAAAGCUGGGACUUGUCUUUAACAUGCGUCUGUGCCUUUCUCUUUCCUGCUGAGAUGUUUAAACUCUAACUUAAAGUAAUUCCAAAAUUACCCAGUUUUAAAAUGUUGGCCACUUUCUGUUAAUGCACAGUGCUUGAGCAUGUAUUACGAAAGAGACUCUGAGCGAUGUUCAGGAUACAACUCAGAAAGUAUUGAGACAUAACAACACAGCACUAAGGAAUGUUUCCAAAGGCUUUGCCUUGGACUCCUUGGCUUCAACUAUGGGAACAGCAAGAAAUCAGCUUAGCAAGCCUCGUCUUCAGUUCCUUCAACUCUGAAACACAAUUCAUAUUCCAGGCCUUGUUUUAUGCCCUUCUGUGAACAAAAAAGCCUAUAAUCUGAGGUGCAUUUGUCAGUUUUCCAUCACUGUAACAAAUGUCGGAUGUCUACGGGCAUCAGCUUGGAAAGAGAAAAGGCUUGACUGUACUCCUGACUUCAGAGGUUCAAGUCUACAAACAGUUGACACUUUUGCUUCUAGGCCUGUGGUGCAGGAGUACAUCAUAGAGAGUGUGAAGACUGCAGAGCCACUCGCGUCUCGGAGGUGAAACAAGUAAAAGAGGAAAGGCCUGGGUUCCCUCUGAGGUCAUAUCCUUAAUGACUCCUAGAUAUCUCUCUUAGAAGGAUGCAAACAACAGUGCCCAGCAAGUCAAGCUUGGGCAAACAGUCUACAUUGAUGAUGUUGUCUCUAACAAGAGAGACAGUGGCCUAGAAAUCUACCAUCAUUUCCUCUGGGAAGAUGCUAGGAGUUGCUAUGCCUCCUCAAUAUGUCAUUGAGACUGUUAAGUCCAAAAGAGAGUGUGUCACGCUCAGCAUGUGACAAUGGGGAGGUAACAACCACACAGCAAGAGAGAAGAGGAGGUGUGCACGAGGGACGCUAGAGCGUGACCGCAGCAAACACCCUGAGGCUCUCAUCAAGGGAUGGCAGAACUCGACACUGGCUUGACAGGCAGGUGACCAGCACUGAGCAUUCCCAGCUCAUGUUUGGUUUCCUAGAUUUUAACAAAGAAGUACAAACCUGAAAAUUCAAAGUAAAGGAAACCAUGAUUUCAGUGGCACAGAUAUGGGCAGGGAGAGGUUAGGACUCCAGUGGAAACAGAGAAACCGGGCUUUGAUGUCCUGUCAACUACUUUCUCACUAUUACACAACUCGGAGAGUUGGGCUGAAAUAUAACUCCACCCUUUCCUUGCCAAAUCCGGUGCCUCACUAGACACCGAAUCUACCAGCAUCUUGAUCUAGAACAUUCCUCCCUACAAAAAUGUGAGUCAUAAACAUUUUUUGUUUAUAAGCUGCCCAGUUUGUGGUAGUUUUGUAUAGCAGCCAGAAUGGGCUAAGAUAAUGGGAGGAGACUAAAUUAAUGCAAAGUACAGGAUGGGGAAUAAUGACUGAACAUCAGUGAAAAGGAUCCUUGCUUGUUGGUUUUCUUUGUAUUUGAAAUGAAUCUAAUAUUGUUCAAAAGAACCACACAUCUUCCCCCAAAAGAUAAUGUAACUUAUUACUAGAAAAAAUAUUUGGGGUGAAACACAGACCAAGCCAAUGUGAUGUUAGUGACUGGGUCCAUCAUGAUAAUGCUCUAUAUAGAAGAAUCUAGAAUGUUAAAGGUGUCCAGUGCCAAGGAUACGCCCUGCCAGGAUGAACUCCUAGCUUGUGCUCUGUCUCAUUGUACCCUGAUUUAUAGCCCAGUCUAGGCACUCAUCAAGAUCAAGAUGAGUACUCUCUGAAAAAAAAAUCCUCAGUAAGGAUAGUGCUCAAAGACACUGGUGGCCUGAAGAAAAAGGUAUUUAGUUCAUAUGAAAAAGGCUUAGUGAUUCCCAAUAGCUGUUGUGGACAUUAAAGGACUCUCAGGUGGAAAAGAAGCCAAACAUAAUCUUUCAAAGCCCAGAGGGCAAACUUAACUGUAAUUGGUGAAUGUGUCAGGGAGCUAGGUUUCAGUACAAGGUGGAGAAAUCCUUCCUAAUAACCAGAGUUGUUCUAAUGGGCUGAAUCGGGAAGCGAGUUUGAAGCAAUCUGAGGAAAGCUGAAUGGCCUCUUCUAAAGCUCACUGAAGGAUUUUUAUUACACUAAGGAUAAUUUCUGGUUUGGGUGACCACAGAAGUUUCUUCCAAUUUCCAGUUAUCUGACUAUAAAGUGGCAUGGCCCAGAAGAAAGUGAAGCAUUCCUCUUCUCCCAGAAGGACUUAAAAUGCUUUUAACUUAAAGUGGGAUUAGAUUGGCAUGAAAUAUUUAAGAUGACAGAUGGUGCCUGUAGUAAGUUCUCCCACUGAAUUCGUUUAGGACUACGUGGGUAUCAGAGAAAUCCUCACGUGGAGAGAGAGAGCCUAUUCAGCUUCGAUGAUGAGCUAUCGGGGAGGAGGGUGUGGUGGUCAUGGCACAAGCUGCAGAUACCAUCAUUACUUGCUAGCAUUUAGUCAUCAGCAGUUGCCCCCUCAGAGGAUGUGGAUCCUGUAGAGUCAGAGGAAGACCAUUUCUCAUCACAAGUCCAAGACUCACUAGUUAUUUUAGUCUCCUUUCCUGUGAUUCUCUCCAGCUUACAAAUUUUACUCAUAAAUAGUCCUUGGCUCUUCCAGCUGAUAAGCAUCAGUACUAAUGAAUCUAUAUUCAUUUCCUUUCUGAUGUAAAAAUAGCAAAAGGAAAAAAAUCAGAGAGAUUGAAAUUACUUAGCAUACCUAUAGUUGUUUUAAAAACUAUUUUAAAAUGUGUGCCUAAGACUGUACUUUCAGGGAUCAUUUCUAUAGUUCGUAAAAUGUGUGCCUAAUUUAGUUUCUAAUGUCUAAGAACUUGAAAUAUUAUCCAGGGUCACUAUUAACGUAGAAUGCUGUGACUGGUUGUCAUGAUAAUGCAACUUAGCUUUGCAUAAGCUAAGUAUCCCAUAUUGUUUCCACCUUUCACUCUACUUUGUUAGGGACGGACCUUUUCUAAUUGUCAUUAAAUAUUAUGCUCUGAGAACAUUUUUUUCUUAUUGUGGGUUGUGAGGAUUUGAAUGAAAAUGGCCCCAGACACCCAUGUGUUUGAAUACUUGGUCCCAGUUAGUAGGACUGUUUGGGAAGGAUUAGGAGAUGUAGCCAUGUUGGAGGAGUUAUGUCACUGGGGGUCAGGCUUUUGAAUUUUGAAAGACUCAUGCCAUUCCCAACACACACACACACACACACACACACACACACACACACACACACAGAGAGAGAGAGAGAGAGAGAGCAGAAAGACAGAGACAGAGACAGACAGAGAGAACACCAUACUUGUAGAUCAGUAGAUCAAAAUGUAAGCUUUCAGCUAUUCCUACCACCAAGCCAUACUCUGCUAUCAUGGACUCCAGUCCUCUGAAACCAUAAGUCAAAGUUUAAGACAUUAUCGGUCAUGGCAUCUCACCACAGCAAUAGAAAAUUAACUAAGACAUGGGUAAUUCCAGGAGUAAUUUCUUCAAUCUGAACAGGAAAAUACUGUUUACUUUCAAUGGACAGAGUCUAUUAACUAGAUUCCUGAAAAAUAUUUUUUGAAGUACUUAAUCUACUCUGCAGCCAUCUGCUGCUUCUUACCCAAGCAGUUGACCAGGUGCCUGGAGCCAUUCUUUUCCCGGUCCUGUUGGAAUGUUAAGCACGUGUCACUGAGCUUCGCGAACACCGGAACUCUUAGAUCGGACAUUUAUCCAUUCCCUGUCUGACAAGAAAGCCUUGCUCUUAUUUUUGCUCAGUUACCUGGAGUGCUGUGUGUUGAGAAGAAGCUGAGCACAAGUGGCAAACCAUCACGACCAGCACUGUCCCUGAUUGUCAAUCCCUUCUGCACUGUGACAUCAGGGACCGAAGAUGUAUCUUAGCUUACAGCUUUCCUUUCUUUCUGGAACUUGUUUGUGACACUUGGGAGUAUCCUGAAACCCACUUCUCUCUCUCUCAUGGAAGCCCAAGAUGCACUCUUAAUCAUGGCUAAAGUGAUUCUACCCCAGAUCACAUCAGAGUAUCAGGAGACUUUCAUCUCCCUGCUGAGCAGCUUGCUCCUGGAGAAGACUCAGGAAAGAGGCUUGUAGGCAUCCCUGGUGAUCCCGCAGAGCCUUCCUCCGACAUAGCUGCUUACUAUACCUGCUUCACCCCAUGUUCUGUAAGCUCCUGCACUGUCUGAAAAGUUUCUGAAUAAACUCACUCAGUGUGUUCUAAA